rnacentral:rRNA from 1 species
GAAUCAUUGGUCAAUGAGGGAAGUCAUAUCCAGACCGCCGCAGCUGUGUAAGAAACGCCUCUUGUUUUAAAGCAUCUUAACCGAGAUAGAGAGGCUACCUAAGACUAAUACUCCUGAUAUGUGAACUUACACUGGCUGGAAAUAAGCACCGCUAACAUCUGCCAGCAGGUCGCGGGUAUCAGAGGGAGUCGAGCGUUAUCGGAAUUUUCUGGGCUUAAGCCUGCGUAGCGCCUUUUUAAUUGGAUGUGAAAUCCUGAGCUUACUAGGAAAUUGCAUUCGAUACUGGAAGCUAGAGUAUUGGAAGAGGAUGGUAGAAUUCUCAGGUGUAGCGGUGAAAUGCGUAGAGAUUCUGGAAGGAAUACCGAUGGCCGAACGCCAGCCAUCUGGCCCAUACUGACGCUGAGGUACGAAAGCAUGGGGGAGCAAACAGGAUUAGAUACCCUGGUAGUCCAUGCCGUAAACGAUGUCUACUAUCCGUUGGGGCCUUUGAGGCUUUAGUGGCGCAGCUAACGCGAUAAGUAGACCGCCUGGGGAGUACGGUCGCAAGACUAAAACUCAAAUGAAUUUGACGGGGGCCCGCACAAGCGGUGGAGCAUGUGGUUUAAUUCGAUGCAACGCGAAGAACCUUACCUGGUCUUGACAUAGUAAGAACUUUCCAGAGAUGGAUUGGUGCCUUCGGGAACUUACAUACAGGUGCUGCAUGGCUGUCGUCAGCUCGUGUCGUGAGAUGUUGGGUUAAGUCCCGCAACGAGCGCAACCCUUUUCCUUAUUUGCCAUCGGGUUAAGCCGGGAACUUUAAGGAUACUGCCAGUGACAAACUGGAGGAAGGCGGGGACGACGUCAAGUCAUCAUGGCCCUUACGACCAGGGCUACACACGUGCUACAAUGGUCGGUACAAAGGGUUGCUACCUAGCGAUAGGAUGCUAAUCUCAAAAAGCCGAUCGUAGUCCGGAUUGGAGUCUGCAACUCGACUCCAUGAAGUCGGAAUCGCUAGUAAUCGCGGAUCAGAAUGCCGCGGUGAAUACGUUCCCGGGCCUUGUACACACCGCCCGUCACACCAUGGGAAUUUGUGCACCAGAAGUAGGUAGUCUAAAAAAAAGGACAAAGAUCCCAUAGGUAAGAUGUUUCCCCACC